rnacentral:rRNA from 1 species
UACGUAGGGUGCAAGCGUUAAUCGGAGUUACUGGGCGUAAAGAGCUCGUAGGCGGCUUGUCACGUCGGGUGUGAAAGCCCGGGGCUUAACCCCGGGUCUGCAUUCGAUACGGGCUAGCUAGAGUGUGGUAGGGGAGAUCGGAAUUCCUGGUGUAGCGGUGAAAUGCGCAGAUAUCAGGAGGAACACCGGUGGCGAAGGCGGAUCUCUGGGCCAUUACUGACGCUGAGGAGCGAAAGCGUGGGGAGCGAACAGG